rnacentral:rRNA from 1 species
CCGGACGGGUGGAACUAACACAUCCAACCUGCCGUCUACUCUUGGACAGCCUUCUGAAAGGAAGAUUAAUACAAGAUGGCAUCAUGAGUCCGCAUGUUCACAUGAUUAAAGGUAUUCCGGUAGACGAUGGGGAUGCGUUCCAUUAGAUAGUAGGCGGGGUAACGGCCCACCUAGUCUUCGAUGGAUAGGGGUUCUGAGAGGAAGGUCCCCCACAUUGGAACUGAGACACGGUCCAA